AAUCAGCUAUACUUCAGUUAAGAAAAAGAAAUUUUUUUUCUACAAGGCCCUUAUAAUCCAUAGUACAAUAAUGAGCUCCCAUGAGAAGUUGAAAAAAAUCAAAGCUGCUUACAAACUGCACGCAUCACAUACCAGAUGAUAAUCCCAAGACAACAGAGAAGUGAUCGCAAUGAUAUGGCACCACCUUUUACAGAUACGAUUCUGAGAAAAUUCACAGUAAAGAGAAAGUUCCCUGUGGGAAACAGUUGUUAGGACAUGACCCUUGAGCUGGGCUUGACAGAGGUAUAGAGUCAGUGGAAAGCUUAGGGAAGGUGUUUCUAGAGGAUGGAGGAAUGUAGAAGAAGGCCCAGAAGUGAGGAUGGAAAAGAUAGAUACUAGGAGCAGUAGGGAUGAGCCUGCCUGUCAGGAAAAUUACAUCGAUUGGGUGAAGUUGGGACAAGUGAGCUGACUUUUCAAACUAGGCGAGGAGUUUGGAUUUCACCUUUUAAGUUGCCAAGGAACAGAAGAGUUCUUCUCAAGACCUUUAAGGUACCGGUGUGCAUUGUGAACCUCCAAAAUAGAAAUGUAUGCUAUUUCCCAAAUUUAUCUGACACUGGAAGCUUUUUUCCAUGACAUCACUUAUUAACAACUUUGAAAAGAUUUGUUCUACAGAUACCUAGAGGAAGAAGACCCUCAACCUAGAGUAUGCUCGGAAAACUGGGAGCUCAAAGGUUCCAAAAAUAACAAAAAUUUUUCAAAGGCAUGAAUAGUAUCUUGGGUAGUAUCCAAAAGCAUCAAUUCAUCCUCACUGUUAGCAGCACAUUGUGGGUCACUUGGAAAGGGACUCGUGGUUUUCUGAGACCUUCUUUCCUUCUUUAAUGAUUGAUAAAUCUGUCACAUAUUUCAUCAUAAGAUUCUUUUAUCCUUGCAAAAUACGUUUCUGGCUUGGUGUGACACCACACUUAGUUCAAGCAAUAGGGUGUAUUGCCUGUUCUUCAGCAGGCCGCAGGCACUCUCUCUGGUCAUUGUCAGAUGCCAGGUGGCACCUGUAAGACAAGCAGGAAGGAACUGGUCUUGCCUCAUAAAAGCAGCCUCAAACCAGGAAGGCUCUGUCUGCAGCCCCAGGCCUUUCCUGUCUGUCCCCACUCUUGCCAGGACUUUCUUUGUGUCCUUGCUGUUGUCUCAUUUGGGUUCUCAGUUGCUUACUGUGGUUCCCCACCCCCUCCUGUGCUAAGCCACUUGGUAAUUGAACUUGACUUUUAUCUUCCCUUCGUUCUAUUUUAAAAAUAUCUGAAAAUAGCUUGUUUUUCCAAUGGGGCCUCCAGCAAGUCUUUAACUUUAGUUUAGCGAUAGUUCCCAGCCAGGAGUGGCACCACAUCCCCCCAGCCUUCUACAUGUGGCAUUUGGAAAUCUUUGGAGGCAUUUUUUGUGAGGGGAUUAUCACCAUGCACUGUAGAGAAGGUCCUAUUACCAAGUACCGAGCAGAGGCUGAGAAUAUUAGGCAUCAGGCAGUGUGGCAAUAGCCCUACAUAAUGAAGAGUUGCCUGUCCCCAGAUGCCAGGAGUGUCCCCAGUGAGAACCGCUGUGUGCUUCCCAAACUCUGGCCACUUGAGUACCACUUUGAUAAUUUUUAAUAUAUAAUGUACCACUUGUGCAAAUUUUUUAAAAAUUAACUCACUUAAAAAAUUAUUUUCUUUUAGCAAUAGUCUGUUUGAAACAAUGGGUUAAUGUUAUUUAUAUUUAAAAUAAACAUAAAGAUAAAUACCUAACACCUCAUACAAAAUAUUCUGCAUUAGUCAUACGUAUAUGAAAUUUGGGAACACUGGGUCCUGCUUAUGGCCACGUACCCUUUUGGGGUUUUAAUGGGAGCAUUAGCCUUGCACACAUUUUGUCUUCUGAACUAUGAAGAUCUAAGCCAGUGUGCCUGAUGGACUCCUUAAUGUGGUGCUUAUAAGGCCACAUGUUUAAUGUCCCAUUAAGGUGAUUUAUUUUCUAUAAAGAAGUUCCUCCCACUGGCAAUGACAUCAUCCUUGACCCAGGCCAGGGUCUGUCUUUGCUGGUUGCAAAGUCAAAGGGUGAAAGUGAGGCUCACUUGGCAUUUGCCUCCUUGUAUUCUAGAAUUCUAGGCUCUGUGAGGACAGACCUGUGUCUUGUGUCCCCACCUUUCCUAAUGCAAUGAGCAUUUAUGAAAGUCUCAGUGGGUGAAUGAAAGCAUGACCAAAUGAAUGGAUGCUAACCCCGCACCACAAAACAGGCAACGGGGUAAUAUAAACACUGCUGCCCCGGAGUCCAAAAGUCUUGCAUACGUUUCUUAGGCUUCCUGAUGUUCAUUUAAGGCAAUUCUAGACUAAGUUCCUGCUCCAUUUCAGCUGACUCAUCCUGCAGGAUUACUGCAGCCACGUGCAAUGAGCACAGAGAAGGGAGGGAGAGGAGACAAGAGAGGAAACAGCAGCCUCGGGGGAAGUUGAUUUCAAGGGCAAGGUGUCAUUUCAUCCUCUGACCACUGUAGACGCCAGGAUUUUAGCCUGAGUUCCCUUAUUUUACAGGUCAGAAAACUGACGCUUGAGGAAAUUAUCUAACCCAGGGUCACUCACUAAAAUACAUAGCAAUGUCAGCGUUUGAACUCAAGCCCACCUGAGCUGUCUUUAUAACCCCGGAGGUGCUGCCAAGGAUCCCGGAAUGGCUGUGUCAGCUUCGUUGUUUCCAACCCACCUGCUGGACUUUUGAUGUAAGCAGCUCUCUCCCCUCACUAUCAUGGAGAGCAAGUGGGUGACGUUCAUAAAAUAGAUCUUACUAGUUCCUGCCUGCUGCCAGCCAGAAAGUCAUGUGAAAUAGCACAGCAAAGCGAGGUUGCCGUUGUUGCCCCAUGGGAUUUCGUCAAAAGCCAAGAUAAUCCGGGCUGAGACAAUCUGUGGGCAGGGCACCACAUGGGCUUUUGAAUAGGGUGUUUGUCUCAUUGGCUGAAGGAAAAGAGCUCUAUUCAUAACCUUCCCCUGAUAGCCUUUUGCAGGAGAAAGUGGAGGAAAAGCCAGAAUCUCAGGGGAAAGAGGCCUUUUCCCUUUCUCUGAGCAGGAUAGUUCCGCAUCCCCUCCCUGGCAACACUGAUUUUAGGUAAAUGGUUGAAUUUUUUUCUCCCACCAUUAUGGGAGCAGCGCUAAUAAGUUGUCUUAGUACCUGAGUGUUUUGAGGAAUGUCCUGCCUUUAUUUAGCCAAGUGAAAUCUGAGCUGCUUCUUGAUGUUAUUAAAAAUUGUCCUUGCUCUCUAUCCCCACCCCAGAGCCUUCCUUCUGUCCCCACGGAGCAGAUUCGAAACUUUUUUCAAAAUAAAAUGUCAUUGGUCUACUCUACCCUCUGAGGAAUGAUCCUCCCGCCCUUUGUAGUUGACUGUGGCUGUAUCCUGCCUUUGAAACAGCGUAUCUUGUUAGAUCAUCCACAGGAUUGGGAAAUGACCUCUCGUCUGAAUUUAAUUCCAGCCAAGAUGGUGUGAGGUUGCUGUUGGCCAACCUGAAGUUUGGGCUUUCAAGUGAAAACCUGAGGAAUUUCCUUUCCAGCCCCACUGUCUAUGAACAAAAGUGAUCUUCAGUCAUGGUGGCCUCCCUUGGAAAGCCAGGCUUGCCUGGGCAGUCACGGCUCCAGUGUUCAGGAUUCACGAUGCUAGUCAGCGACUGUGCAAACAGGGAGAAGGCUGGCAAGAUACACAGCAGCUGUAACCUGGAACCACCACUUCUACAACUGGUUGAAUCCACAGAUGCAGACCCCACAGAUACAGACGGACAACUGUACUAUGUUCUACCUCUAGUCCCAGACUCUGAUGAAUCAGAACAGCAACUCCCCUUCCCUUGCGUUGGCAGCAGGGAGGCUGGGAAGAAGCAAGAUGGCAGGGAGGAAGGAGCUGAGAAUUCCUCUUUUCUGUGCUGAAGUUACUGUCAUCCCUGUUUUUCAUAUGAGGAAACCGAGAUGUGGAAAGAUUAACUGAAGUUCAGUGAGGCCUAGUUUCAAAAAGCCGCGAAUGAAAAUCCCAGCUUCUAAAUUCAGCCAUAGUCACCUGGUCAAAGAUACCAUCAUUGCUGCUGAACUUGUGAUGGCCCACCCCCACCUCCAUUCUUUUUGGCAUUUCUUUUGGGUUAUACACUAAAAUAACUAAAGAUACACAUUCAAGAAAUAGAAACAUGAGAGGCGACUUGGAAUCAUUUACUGCUACCUGUUCUUUGCAGAGAUAAUGAGACUGUCAUCUCAAGAGUGAGUGGUUGGGAAUGGAACCCAGGUCUUUUGUACCCUAGUCUGGUGCUUUUCCCUCUGUGGUCCUGUGAAGGGGUUCCUGAGAUAUGCUCCCUCUGACUUAUUUGGAAUCUUCCUCCUCCCCAGUGGUUUGAGAGGCAGGAGAAUGUGGUAGAAAGGGUACAGGUCUGAGUACUGGAAGUCCCAGGUGAUGUCCCGGCUCCAGCUUGUGUAAGCUUGUAAUCCGGGCAUACUCUCCUUGGCUUCUUCUUCUGGAAAAUUGAUAUAAUAAUAUUUGCCAACCUCUCAGGACAGUUGUAAGAAUGAAAAGAGAUACUAACUGUGAAAAAUCUCUGUAGGUUCCAGGUGGUGGGCAAUGGUAAGUAAUCAGUUUUGGGAAAUCUCACUCUAUAGGGUGUCCAACUGCUGAGCUAAGACGGUCAUGCCUCCAGCUUCUUAUAUUUGGCUUCCUGUAGAAUUUUUUGACUCUCCACCUUUGCACAUUGCACCCCCCUCCCCCCGUUCGUAUGAUUUUACUUCCAUUGGUGGUGGUCCAGCUGAUUUCUGGACCCAGAGUCCAUAGAAGUCAGUGACUCAGUUUUCUAUGUGGGAAGAGGUUUUUCUCCUCCCCAAGGCCCCAAGAAUGAGCAGAGCGCGUGAGUACU